rnacentral:rRNA from 1 species
CAGUUGCGGAGAGAGACGUAGUGGUGAGUGGAGAAGGGCGUUUUUUUACAGGUUCGUUUCGCCAGAGGGAGAAGGAGGGGACAGGGCGCGGCACCCAGGGCGGUGCGUCGGUAUAGCAGCCGCGACCUCACCGCGGCCGCCCUGCUCGGGAGGCUCCGUUGAGCAUUUGAUGAGGUACCAGAAAAUGAUUGGUCGUUGGUGGUGCUAGAUCCCAAUUAGACCUCGGAUUAGUGGGCCGGUGGUUGGGGGUGAGGGUGGGGUCGCAGGAGAGCGGAGCGGGCGGCAGAGGCUGGGGGUGGGUCGGCAGGAUCGGUGGGUGACGUUGAGGCGUUCGGUACCUCUUCGGCAGCGUGCAUCGGCGGCGGCGGCCCUUCGUCCGUAGCGUGUCCGAACGUCACCAGUGACCGCCUUUGUUCCCUCAGCCGGACCUCCACACGGCCGUCGAACGGCGGCAUCCCCAUUACCAGUAAGAGUGCCGUUCCUUGCUCUUCUCUCCCUUCCUGCGGCGGCUCAGCUAAGCGGCACUUAGGUUGGAGAGGUUGCAACAGAAGGUGGUUGAACUACAGGCCCUACUGUCGUCGCAGCGGCGAGAUCGCGCUGUGUAGCUCUCGUCUAUGCCUUUCGAACUGUAGAACCAGUUGUUACGUCGCCAACAUCCUCAACGUCGUCUGCUCCUUCCGGAGUUUCGAGACUUGGAACUACGUCUCUGUACCUGUAGACCGUCUCGUCGGUGAGACGAGUUUCUGCACAAGGUCUUAUGGAUACUCCACCGUGCCCUGACAGAGCUGUGGUUAAUGAUACCUAGGUUUGCCCAUUGUCUUCGGGAGGAAGGAGAUGACUUUGAUAGGUGCAGCCCUCGUUCCUAGCAGUUGCGGAGGAGGGAACGAAGUCUCGACUUCUCUUACGGCUUGCUCUUCGAUGCCUUCCUGGACUCGUUGUAGCUGUAGACCCUGUUCCGCGCCUAGCUCCGCCACGAGUUGUGUAAGUACCUACUGGACUUCUUACCUGCCGACCUCCUCCGCCCCACCGGCCACUACGACGGCCGAAUGUCGCACAGCUUCUACCACUAGUUGGAGAUGUGCUCCUAGGACCGCUCCGCCGUGGGCCUCUACGCGUAGUUGACGCACGCGGGGCCGAAGCAGUCCUGGCUGUAGUUGACCUUGGACCCCUGGGACUGCGGCCUUGUCCCGCGCUCCCCCGGCCAGUACGACCGGGACGAGGGAGUCCUGCCCGGCUGGCCCACGAUGAAGCUAGUCUGCCUCUACCACUUACAGACCAUCACCAACAAGUGACCUAACAGGACUCGAUGCAAUACCACGUCUUCCUCCGGCCUCUACUAGGUCAAAGACGUUGUAGUUUGUGCUGGUACUUUGUCAUUGCACUUUCUUUGAAACGAGACUACUUCUCUGAACUAGUAGCCAUGAGUCACAGACAACACCACGAGUCACAUAAACGCUACACGCUUGUCCAACAACUAGGCAACUAUCUUCCGACAGUAGAAUCCGUUUACGGUCGUUGCCGUUGGCUAUUCACCCGUUCUUAAGUCAGACCCUUGGUCGAAGCAGCCCCUGGCUGGAGUUGACCUUGAACCCCUGGGACUCGGGCCUUGUCCCGCGCUGCGCGCUCCCUGGGACGAGGGAGUCCUGCCUCUACCACUUUCAGACUAUCACCGACGAGUGACCCAACAUGUCCUUGACGCAAUACGGAUUAUUCUUAUUUCUCAAACGUUCGUGUAUAAUACGGACAUCUUCGACAAUAGUCGCGGUACCUACACGUUAGAACGUGUGACAUACAGACAUAGAUGCUACUGACUAUAGACUUUUUUUAACUUUCUUUUGACUCAAACCAAGUGGUCCGGGUUGACGAAACCUAUUUCCCUUCUUUUAGUAACCCGGUACCAGGCUGGUUUGCUGUGGUGGCCGAUGGUUCUUCUUUUACACACUAGUGGAGUUGUUUUUUUUCACACCGCAUCUGCAUGG